UUACACCAACUUACUCCAAAAUCACUUAGAUUUAAUUUUUUUUUUUCGAUUUCCGGUUUUGGUGAGUCACAUGUCCAAGUCGAGCCUUGACAACUUGGUAUUAAAGCAGUUCGAUUUUGACGAAACUCUUGCAAACUUCGUAACCAUGGUGAAAAAUAACGGGUAAAGCUACAACAUCUGAACUGCAGAAGAUACAAAUUUUGGAAG
rnacentral:lncRNA from 1 species